AUACGGAGGGUGCAAGCGUUACUCGGAAUCACUGGGCGUAAAGCGCGCGCAGGCGGGCUGAUAAGUUGGAUGUGAAAGCCUACGGCUCAACCGUAGAACUGCAUCCAAAACUGUCAGGCUAGAGUGUGGAGAGGAAGAUGGAAUUAGUUGUGUAGGGGUAAAAUCCGUAGAGAUAACUAGGAAUACCAAAAGCGAAGGCAAUCUUCUGGAACACUACUGACGCUGAGGCGCGAAGGCGUGGGGAGCAAACAGGAUUAGAAACCCUAGUAGUCC
rnacentral:rRNA from 1 species